GGACUACCCGGGUUUCUAAUCCUGUUUGCUCCCCUUGCUCUCGCGCCUCAGCGUCAGGUAUAAACCAGAAAACCGCUUUCGCCACUGGUGUUCUUCCACAUAUCUACGCAUUUCACCGCUACACGUGGAAUUCCGUUUUCUCCGUCAACCCUCGAGACAAACAGUUUCAAAUGCAGCACCAAAGUUGAGCUUUGGUAUUUCACAUCUGACUUGUUUAUCCGCCUACGCGCCCUUUACGCCCAAUAAUUCCGAUUAAUGCUUGCACCCUCCGUAUUACCGCGGCUGCUGGCAC
rnacentral:rRNA from 1 species